UCAAAAUGCAAUAAAAUAUUUAGGAGUGGUAAUCCAUAAUGAUCCAGAUAAAAUGUACGAGGCCAAUUAUCAAAACCUAGAAAAUAAAAUAAAACAAGACUUGAACAAGUGGAAAACAAUUCCUGAGUCAAUAUUUAAUAGGGUAGACACAAUAAAAAUGAUGGUACUUCCACAAUUUAUGUUCCUCUUCCAAGCCCUACCAAUUUCGAUACCUCCACAAAGUUUCAAGAGGUGGAACAGAAUAAUAACUAAUUUCAUUUGGAACAAUAAAAGGAAAAGGGUUAAACUGAAAACACUAAUAAAAUCUAAAGAACAUGGUGGAUUGGCACUCCCAGACCUACAAAAGUACUUCCAUGCCACCCAAAUUAGCAUUAUAAUGAAAUGGACCAACAAUAACACAAAAGCCAAAUGGUUUAAGAUAGAAAAAGAACUAGCGCCACUUUCAAUAAAGACCUUACCGUUCAUUGAAAAAAAGAUAUUACACAAUUGAAAGGACAAAACAAAUGGACUAACAUUACGAUGCACCACUGGAAACAGGUUUGUAAAAGAUAUAAAAUAGACAAUGACUUAUUUUAUCUGAGAGAAAUGGCAUGGGACCCCCAGUUUAGACCAAACAAAAUGGACAGCGUGCUAAAGGUCUGGGCAUCAAAAGGACUGCAAAUAUACUGGCAAUUAUUUGUCAACAAAGACAUUGACUCAUUUGAGGCUAUAUCAAAUAAGUAUGAAUUAGCUCAGUCAAAUUUUUAUCAAUACCUGCAACUUAGAAAUUAUAUCAAUACCUUUCAGAAAAAGCCAGUGGAACCAAAAUGCAUCAUUUUAGGAAUAACCCAAGCUGAGCUCACAAUAGAAAGAGACAAAUACUUAUUCAGGAUACUUAGAAUUGCAGCUCUGAAGCAAAUAACGAGAAACUGGCAAAAACCUAUUUCACCUCUUUUCAAUAACUGGAAAUUAACAGUAAACAAUAUUUUCGAAAUGGAAAGAAUCACAUAUAGAAUUAGAAAUCAAGAACCAGAAUAUCUGAAAAGAUGUCAUAGGUGGUUUGAAUAUAUGGAGAACAAAUAAAAAUCUAAAAAAACAAUUGGCUGCUCCUUCAUUAAUGACCUGCCAGAACAGACUGGCCCUAGAUUUCCUCUUAGCUAAAAAAGGAGGUGUGUGUGUUAUGCUCCUCAGGACUGUUGCGUCUUCAUCCCAGACAAUACUGCACCAGACAGCUCUAUAACUCGAGCUCUCUAUAGCUUAAAGACCACAUCAGAAGAAUUGGCAGAACAUUUAGGGAUCCCUUAGCUGAUUGGCUUGAUCUACAUUCGAAAAUUGGAGAACUUUGAUAGUUUCUGCAUAAAUUCCCUGCACCACCUCCUCAUAGAUUAAUUUAACACCCCAGAAAGAUGAUUCCUGUGGUCUCCCUCCCUGAGCCCGGGGAGGACGAGACUGAAGUGGACCUGGACGAAGACGACUACGAUGAAGACCAAGAAGACCGUUUUUGUAUCCCUGAACCCCAUAUAGACACAUGAUAUACGCUAAUGCUAAUACAUAACCAUAUACUCGCAUACACAUAGGGGCGUGAGACUUAUAGGCUUUCAUAGAAAUGUUUACUGUUUUCCAUAAAUUGUGCAAGAUGAAUUGCUGCUGAUAGUUGCUAAUAACACUUACACAUAGCCAGCUUACACAUAUCUGCUGACAUAUAGGUUGCUAGGAAGGUAGGAACAUAUGCCUCUGCUUAAGAUUUAAAUUAUGGGUUUUUGUUGUUGAUAAAAUAAGAGUAUACCAAAAGGGGGCAU